rnacentral:rRNA from 1 species
CCUACGGGAGGCAGCAGUGGGGAAUUUUGGACAAUGGGCGCAAGCCUGAUCCAGCCAUGCCGCGUGCGGGAAGAAGGCCUUCGGGUUGUAAACCGCUUUUGUCAGGGAAGAAAAGGUUCUGGCUAAUACCUGGGACUCAUGACGGUACCUGAAGAAUAAGCACCGGCUAACUACGUGCCAGCAGCCGCGGUAAUACGUAGGGUGCAAGCGUUAAUCGGAAUUACUGGGCGUAAAGCGUGCGCAGGCGGUUAUGCAAGACAGAGGUGAAAUCCCCGGGCUCAACCUGGGAACUGCCUUUGUGACUGCAUAGCUAGAGUACGGUAGAGGGGGAUGGAAUUCCGCGUGUAGCAGUGAAAUGCGUAGAUAUGCGGAGGAACACCGAUGGCGGAGGCAAUCCCCUGGACCUGUACUGACGCUCAUGCACGAAAGCGUGGGGAGCAAACAGGAUUAGAUACCCUGGUAGUCCACGCCCUAAACGAUGUCAACUGGUUGUUGGGAGGGUUUCUUCUCAGUAACGUAGCUAACGCGUGAGUUGACCGCCUGGGGAGGUACGGCCGGCGAGUAGUUAACGUUACGUAAGAAGUUAGUACGGCGUUGAGAGNGCGACGGACGACGACGAGGGAGGAGG